rnacentral:rRNA from 1 species
CCCUUAGAUGUUCGGGGCCGCACGCGCGCUACACUGAAGGAAUCAGCACGUCUUUCUCCUUGUCCGAAAGGACUGGGUAACCCGCUGAACCUCCUUCGUGCUAGGGAUUGGGGCUUGUAAUUCUUCCCCAUGAACGAGGAAUUCUCAGUAAGCGCGAGUCAUAAGCUCGCGUUGAUUACGUCCCUGCCCUUUGUACACACCGCCCGUCGCUACUACCGAUUGGAUGGUUUAGUGAGAUCCUCGGAUUGGUCCCGGCGCGGCCUCUGGUCGUGCCGGAGUGCCGAAAAGAAUGUCGAACUUGAUCAUCUAGAGGAAGUAAAAGUCGUAACA